GUUAUCUGAACCUUCGGGGAACGAUAACGGCGUCGAGCGGCGGACGGGUGAGUAAUGCCUAGGAAAUUGCCCUGAUGUGGGGGAUAACCAUUGGAAACGAUGGCUAAUACCGCAUAAUGCCUACGGGCCAAAGAGGGGGACCUUCGGGCCUCUCGCGUCAGGAUAUGCCUAGGUGGGAUUAGCUAGUUGGUGAGGUAAGGGCUCACCAAGGCGACGAUCCCUAGCUGGUCUGAGAGGAUGAUCAGCCACACUGGAACUGAGACACGGUCCAGACUCCUACGGGAGGCAGCAGUGGGGAAUAUUGCACAAUGGGCGCAAGCCUGAUGCAGCCAUGCCGCGUGUGUGAAGAAGGCCUUCGGGUUGUAAAGCACUUUCAGUCGUGAGGAAGGUAGUGUAGUUAAUAGCUGCAUUAUUUGACGUUAGCGACAGAAGAAGCACCGGCUAACUCCGUGCCAGCAGCCGCGGUAAUACGGAGGGUGCGAGCGUUAAUCGGAAUUACUGGGCGUAAAGCGCAUGCAGGUGGUUUGUUAAGUCAGAUGUGAAAGCCCGGGGCUCAACCUCGGAAUUGCAUUUGAAACUGGCAGACUAGAGUACUGUAGAGGGGGGUAGAAUUUCAGGUGUAGCGGUGAAAUGCGUAGAGAUCUGAAGGAAUACCGGUGGCGAAGGCGGCCCCCUGGACAGAUACUGACACUCAGAUGCG
rnacentral:rRNA from 1 species